AAAGUCGGAUAAAUGAUCGCGGCUGCCGUCAGGCAGGUGAGGAAAGUCCGGGCUUCACAGGGCAGGAUGCCGGAUAACGUCCGGUGGAGGCGACUCCCAGGAAAGCGCAACAGAAAUGACACCGCCCCCACGGGGUAAGGGUGAAAUGGCAGUGUAAGAGACUACCGCUGGCCCGGUAACGGGACAGGCAUAUGCAAGCCCCAUCCGAAGCAAGGCCAUGCAGGGAGCAUAAGGCGGCCCGUCUGCUCCCGGGUAGGCCGCUUGAGCCGUCCGGUAACGGCCGGCCUAGACAGAUGAUCAUUCACGACAUAACCCGGCUUACCGUCCGGCUUUCCAU
rnacentral:RNase_P_RNA from 1 species